rnacentral:lncRNA from 1 species
GGUGACCUUUGUUGAUAGCUUUUGGCUACGGUUUUUAAGCCACUCUUAAUAAGCGUUCUUUUUAAGUGAUAAGGCAACGCAAUUUAAGCGUUGCCAAAUCACAAAGUAAUUGACAACGCUUAUUCAUUCAUGUGGCAACGCUUUCAGAGUGUGCUAAGCUUAUAUUCUAAAAGCAACACUUUCCAAGUGUGCUCUAAAAUAACCCAAAAAAAUAUUUUCCUCCCCCCACAAAAUUCCCCCCUUUAUUGCUUUUAGUGAAAUAUUCAAAUAUUUUCCCCAUUUUGAAAAAGCAAAUCAGGUGCUAUGACCAUCCUUUCGAAAUCGUUCGUUAAGUUUGUCUCUUCGACUCUUCGAAACCUCCGCCAAUUUUUGAAAUCUCCAUCGACACCACCUUUGUGAGUUUCUUCAGGCUUCUAGAAGUUUUACCUCCACAAGGGAUACAGGGCCACUCAAGUUCAAGGAACCGAUCCUUCACGCACUUUCGCAGAGGUAAUCGAUACUGAUAAACCCUAUAAGCUUUCCUUCUUUUGGGAAUUCAACCUUUCUGGUUUCUCACUCAUCAGAAAGUUUUUUUUGGUUCUUGUUUUGUUUGCUCUUAUUUUGGUUGUUUAAGGAAUAAUAAGGCAUCAGGUAAUACGACAUUAUUUUUAGGUCUUAUUAGUUUUCUGGGUCUUGUAUGUUCAUUCUUAUAUCGGUAGUGAAAUAUUAGAUCAUUUUAUUCUUUGUUGCUAUAUAACUUUAUUGUUGAAUUCCUAUUUCAUUUUAUUUAUUAAUUUUUGAGUGUUUCAAGUGCUAUUGGAUAAGAAGGGGUGACUUACCAACUAUCUAAUGAACUUUCUCUUCGCCAUGCCUUUUUAUUCUUGGUUGAAGAAGCUGGACACAAAUUAAAAAUAGUUCUUCACUUUGUAGUUUAUUAAUCUCCUUUCUUAUUAAGGAUAAAAUAAUACCAUCUAAAGUUUGAAAAUGAGGAGUCCAAUUUGGUAAAGUUAUUAUUAUUAUUAUUUUUUUGAAAUUUUGGUAAUUAAUGUGAAGUUUUAUAACAUCUUGGCCAAGUUUGAAAAGAAAGAGGCAAGUUGGUGAAGAUCUCUUGAUGUCCAUGAACUUCAAAAAAGAUGCUAUGAAGAAAAGAAUUAUGCAAGUUGGUAAAGAUCUUAUCUGCAUUUUGUUUGGUACGAGUUUUGAAUGUUCAUAAUGUCACAUAUACAUACACCAUAUUGAUCUUUAUUUCACACUUGACUGAUUGGUUGUAAUUUGGGUAGAGUGACAUCAGAUGUGCUUGCUUUUGCUUACUAUUUUUCGGCCUGCUAAAAUAUUUUCAUUGACCAAGAGGUCAACCAGGCAUUUAUAGCUGUAAUGUUCUCAAUUGUUUUAAUGCUUGAGAUUAGUUUGAGCGAAAGAAUUUCAAAGAUGUGAAACUGCUAUGUUAAACGUAUAUAGGAUUUCUGAGCUUUCACUGAUAUCAGUAAUUUAUAAUCAAAAUAUUUUCUUGUUUUUGUAUGGGGAGCAUCUUGAUGGUUAGGAUAUAUUAACUCUAUCAACUGUUUCACUAGCUUUCACUGUGUUUGCUUGCCUUAAGUCUGUUGUUUCUUUACUUGAAUUCUUGGCUGAAAUGUUAUGUUUAUAUAUUUUUUGUGUGCAGGUUAGAUCAUUUUAUAGCUGAGUAUUGUAAAUUCUACCUAGCUUACCUAGUACCUACACCCUCCAACGCUACUAUUACAGGUAAAAACUCUGUAAUAGUGAAAAUUGGUCACUGGAUUUUUAACCUCUUACAUGCGUUGAAUCAUCUCCAUGACUAUCCGUUCAUUAUUUUUUUCAAUGAACUCUUGUGUUUGGAUUUGCUUAGAAAUACAUGUUGUAUUGUAAGGAUACUAGGCAACUAUACUGGAAUUUACUAGGAAGUAUUUAUAUCUUGUGACAUAUAAUUAGGUGCAUUUGAAAAUUUUGUUCUGUUGACUUAUUGACUGAAGUGAACUUUCCUUUUUAGAGAAGAAGUUCACUUACCGAAUUUGUCUAUUAAUAUACAAUAGUUAAACACAAGAAAGCAACAGAGUCAUACUAGACUAGUAAUUGAAGAAUUUCAAAAUAUUCUGCCAAUGGAAAGAAUACAUAAAUAUUUUAGUAACAGAAAGAAUUUCUAAUAUGUUGGUUUUAGGAACAAGUAUCAUAUUCAACUCUAGAGAGAAUGUGACUAGAUGUCUAGAUGAUUAGAAAACAGAAAGGCCAAUAAAACAUGAUUAUUGUCCAUAGGUUCUGUUAUUGAAUCAUUACAACAUAAAGAUUACACUUUGAUCUCAUGAAUACUGUAACAUAUAUAGAUUUUCUUCUAUUUUUGCAAUUUAUUUUAGUCCUUUAUAUGUAUAUCUCAUACUCAUAUCUGAUAGUAUUGUAAUUGUUGUCAUUUUAAAGUAGUGUGUGCUUUUGUACGUGGACAAGAAUGUGUUCAAGUCAUUUGUGGUAUCUAGCCCUUGGAAAAAAUACACAUAGUAUGUUGCUAUAUUGGUG